GGUGCAGGGGGAACCUGAGCGCACGCCGCGUGGAGGAUGACAGAUUUCGGUGCGGAAACUCCUUUUAUAUAAGAAGAUAAUGACGGCUAUUAUAUGAAUAAGCACCGGCUAACUCCGAUGCCAGCAGCCGCGGUAAUACGACCAGCAGCCGCGGUAAUACGA
rnacentral:rRNA from 1 species